AUUCUUAUGUAGUUCGUAGAGUGAUGAUUGGGUGGGUGUGCAUGCUCUUGUGUGGGAUGUGCCUCCCUCAGACCUUGUGAUGGCAUCAGCAUGUUACCUCUCUGGCG